CCUACGGGAGGCAGCAGUAGGGAAUAUUGCUCAAUAGGGGAAACCCUGAAGCAGCAACGCCGCGUGGAGGAUGAAGGUUUUAGGAUUGUAAACUCCUUUUGUUAGAGAAGAUUAUGACGGUAUCUAACGAAUAAGCACCGGGUAACUCCGUGCCAGCAGCCACAGUAAUACGGCGGGUGCAAGCGUUACUCGGAAUCACUGGGCGUAAAGAUUGCUUAGGCGGGUGAAUAAGUCAGAUGUGAAAUUCUGUAGAUUAACUACAGAACUGAAUUUGAAACUGUUACUCUGGAGUGUGGUAGAGGUAGGUGGAACGCUUGGUGUAGGGGUAAAAUCCGUAGAGAUCAAGAGGAAUACUCAUUGCGAAGGCGACCUGCUGGAACAUUACUGACGCUGAUGCACGAAAGCGUGGGGAGCAAACAGGAUUAGAUACCCUUGUAGUC
rnacentral:rRNA from 1 species